rnacentral:rRNA from 1 species
CGUAGCGGGGGAUAACUAUCGGAAACGAUAGCUAAUACCGCAUAACAACGGAUGACACAUGUCAUUUAUUUGAAAGGGGCAAUUGCUCCACUACAAGAUGGACCUGCGUUGUAUUAGCUAGUAGGUGAGGGUAACGGCUCACCUAGGCGACGAUACAUAGCCGAACCUGAGAGGGUGAUCGGCCACACUGGGACUGAGACACGGCCCCAGACUCCUACGGGAGGCAGCAGUAGGGAAUCUUCGGCAAUGGGGGCAACCCUGACCGAGCAACGCCGCGUGAGUGAAGAAGGGUUUUCGGAUCGUAAAGCUCUGUUGUAAGUCAAGAACGAGUGUGAGAGUGGAAAAGUUCACACUGUGACGGUAGCUUACCAGAAAGGGACGGCUAACUACGUGCCAGCAGCCGCGGUAAUACGUAGGUCCCGAGCGUUGUCCGGAUUUAUUGGGCGUAAAGCGAGCGCAGGCGGUUUGAUAAGUUCUGAAGUUAAAGGCUGUGGCUCAACCAUAGUUCGCUUUGGAAACUGUCAAACUUGAGUGCAGAAGGGGAGAGUGGAAUUCCAUGUGUAGCGGUGAAAUGCGUAGAUAUAUGGAGGAACACCGGUGGCGAAAGCGGCUCUCUGGUCUGUAACUGACGCUGAGGCUCGAAAGCGUGGGGAGCGAACAGA